AUGGUACUUGCAAUUUGGGUUUGUUGCACCAAUUAUACUGUAGGGACCUCCCUUACCGUCUUUCUGUCAAAAAAAAAAGUUUCAUCUAUCCUCAUGGACUAUGGAUUUUUCCCAACUGGAGAUUCCAUGGAUACUAUAAACCUGCCUUAUGACUGCAGAAAGUCAGACGGAGAAUCAUGCAAAGGGCCUACAGAUGCAAACAUGGCAGUUACGGAAACGGCCAAUGUGGAUGCUGGAGAGGAAAAGGUAAAGAUAAUCAAAUCUGGCUUUGAUCUAGUUUUGGACAGGCUGAUGGUGUUUGGUAAUGAAUAA
rnacentral:rRNA from 1 species